UGAGCACCAGGUAACAGAGAGCUCGAUUAUGCUCAGAUUGAACGCUGGCGGGAUGCUUUACACAUGCAAGUCGAACGGCAGCACGGACUUCGGUCUGGUGGCGAGUGGCGAACGGGUGAGUAAUGUAUCGGAACGUGCCUAGUAGCGGGGGAUAACUACGCGAAAGGUAGUUAAUACUGCAUACGCCCUUCGGGGGAAAGCGGGGACCUUCGGGCCUCGCACUAUUAGAGCGGCUGAUAUCGGAUUAGCUAGUUGGUGGGGUAACGGCUCACCAAGGCGACGAUCCGUAGCUGGUUUGAGAGGACGAAUUACCACACUCUGGACCGAGACGCGGCCCAGACUCCUACGGGAGGCAGCAGUGGGGAAUUUUGGACAAAUGGGGAAACCCGAUCCAGCCAUCCCGCGUGUGCGAUGAAGGCCUUCGUUGUAAAGCACUUUUGGCAGGAAAGAAACGGCACGGGAUAAUACCCCGUGCAACUGACGGUACCUGCAGAAUAAGCACCGGCUAACCACGCCAGCAGCCGCGGUAAUACGUAGGGUGCAAGCGUUAAUCGGAAAUUACUGGGUAAGCGCGCAGGCGGUUCGGAAAGAAAGAUGUGAAUCCCAGAGCUUAACUUCCUUGGAACUGCAUUUUUAACUACCGAGCUAGAGUGUGUCAGAGGGAGUGGAAUUCCGCGUGUAGCAGUGAAAUGCGUAGAUAUGCGGAGGAACACCGAUGGCGAAGGCAGCCUCCUGGGAUAACACUGACGCUCAUGCACGAAAGUGUGGGGAGCAAACAGGAUUAGAUACCCUGGUAGUCCACGCCCCAAACGAUGUCAACUAGCUGUUGGGGCCUUCGGGCCUUGGUAGCGCAGCUAACGCGUGAAGUUGACCGCCUGGGGAGUACGGUCGCAAGAUUAAAACUCAAAGGAAUGACGGGGACCCGCACAAGCGGUGGAUGAUGUGGAUUAAUCUCGAUGCAACGCGAAAAACCUUACCUUACCCUCGACAUGUCUGAAUCCCGAAGAGAUUUGGGGAGUGCUCGCAAGAGAACCGGAACACAGGUGCUGCAUGGCUGUCGUCAGCUCGUGUCGUGAGAUGUUGGGUUAAGUCCCGCAACGAGCGCAACCCUUGUCAUUAGUUGCUACGAAAGGGCACUCUAAUGAGACUGCCGGUGACAAACCGGAGGAAGGUGGGGAUGACGUCAAGUCCUCAUGGCCCCAGGGGUAGGGCUUCACACGUCAUACAAUGGCCGGGACAGAGGGUCGCCAACCCGCGUGGAGCCAAUCCCAGAAACCUGAUCGUAGUCCGGAUCGCAGUCUGCAACUCGACUGCGUGAAGUCGGAAUCGCUAGUAAUCGCGGAUCAGCAUGUCGCGGUGAAUACGUUCCCGGGUCUUGUACACACCGCCCGUCAUACCAUGUGGAGUGGGUUUUACCAGAAGUAGUUAGCCGCAACCGUAAGGAGGGCGAUUACCACGGUAGGAUUCAUGACUGGGGUGAAGUCAACAAGGUAA
rnacentral:rRNA from 1 species